UCAGAAUCAUUCCUGAAUGCUCAGUUC
rnacentral:sRNA from 1 species